AAGAACCCCAAUGUGGUGCCCUGACUACCCCAAGUACCCAAAUGAGGACCACGUCUUGCCCAUCAACCUUCAAGUGGCCCCAUUAUGCUCAACUAUCUGAGUCAUCGCUGCCCAACUACUGACAAGUGGGGCCCUCUCUCUUAACACCUACAGGUGGGACCUCAGAUCAGGGACCACCAACCUGCAAGUGGAACCCUCCCUACCUAAUAUCCUUAGAGUGAGACUCUCUCUUCUCAACUACAUACAAGUGGAAUCUCUCUACUCAAUUAUCUUAGAGUGGGACCCUCUCUGACAACUAACUACAAGUGGAACCCCCUCUAAACAACUAAACUGCGCCCUCUGCUGAACUACACACAAGUGGAACCCUCGCUACCAAUUACCUUAAAGCGGGACCCCCUCUGCUCAACUUCCUUCUGAAAUCCCCAUGCUUUACAAUUAUUUUUAGAAGCAUGUUCUUUGCUCAACCAGGGACAAGGGGACUACCCAACUUCUGCCCAUCUACAAGUGGGACUUCCUAAACAAUUAUGUUAAGUGGGCUCUUUCUGCUCACCUUCAUAAAGUGGGACCCUCUCCACUCAGCUAACAACUAGUGGAACUCUCCCUACCUAAUUACCUUAAAGUGGGGCCUUCUCUCCUCAAGAACACUCAAGAGGAACCCUCUCUCUCCAGUUGUCUUAAAGUGGGACUGAAUCUGCUCAACUACAUACAAGUGGAACCCUCUGUUCCCAAUUACCUUAAAGUGGGACCCUCCCUCCCAGCCCAACUAACUACAAGUGGACCCCCUCUAAGCAAUUACCUUAAAUUGGUCUCUCUCCUCAGCUACAUACUAAGGGGACCCCACCACCCAGCCAACUACAAGUAGAACACUCCCUGCCCAAUUACCUUCAAGUGGGGCCCUUCCUGGCUCAACUAUACCUGAGUGGGACCUCCCUGCCCCAUCACUACAACUCUAACCCUCCAGUUACUGAAUUGGGUCCUUUCUCACCCGCUGCACGUGUGUGAGACCCUCCUUGUCAACUACACAUAAGAGCAGCCUCCCUGCCCAGCUACUUACAAAUGGGACCCUCCCUUCCCAUUUCCCUGAUGGUGGGACUCUCCCCACUUAACUAUUUACACGUUGGCAUGUACCUGCUCAACAACCUACAUGUGGCACCCUAACAUCCUACUUGCAAUAAUGAGGGGCCCUACCAUCUACUUUCAAGUGGGCCCCCAACCUGACCCACCUCCAUCUUUUGGAACCCACAAUGCACAACUGUCUAAGGGAGGACUCCUCCUGCUCAACUGCUAACAACUGGGACCCUCCCUGGGCAACUUCCUACAAGGGGGACCUCCUUGCCAAUCUACCUAUUAGUGGAACCCUCUCAGUGAAGUACCUAAUAGUGGGCCCCUCUCUGCUUAACACAUAAAGUUGACUUAGACCUGCUCAAGAACCCACAUGUGGCACCAUAACUGCUCAGUUACCUAAACAAGGAGCCCAUAUUGCCCAUCUACACUCCAGCAGGCCCCCAGCCGGCUCAAGUACCAUCAUGUGGGACCUGCCCUGCCUAUCUACUUGACGAACCUCCCUGCCCAAUUACAUGCUGGUUGGAUCCUCACCGCCCAGCUACCCGCAAGUGCAGCCCCUUCCUUCCCGAUCACCUAAAUUUGGGACCCUCCCUGCUCCACUACCUACAAGUGGGCCCUGCCUACCCUUGUGUGGGGUCCUGACCUGCCCAAUUACCUAAAUGUGAGCCCCAACUUGAUCCUUGACCAACGUAUGGGCCCCUCCCUGCCCACCUACCCACUUGGUGGGACAGGACCUGCCAACUACCUACAAGAAGUGCUCCAUCACCACAUAUGGGACCUGACCCGCCCAAAUACCCACAAGUAGUGCCCAGCUACCUACAAGUGGGCCUCGAUCUGCCCAAUGAUCUGAGGACCCUCCUUGCCCAACUUCCUACAUGUGGGACCUGACUUGCCCAACUACCCCCAAGUAGCACCCAACCUUCUCAACUACAGACUUGUGGGCCCAACCUGCUCAACCACACAUAUGUGGUACCUGACCUGCCGCACCCGCCACAUGUGGUACCCUCUGUCAACUACCUACAAGUAGGAGCCAACCUGCCCAUAUACAGACAUGCCGGACCCUCCUUGGCCAAAAAGUGACUGACUCACCCACUCAGCUAUGGGACUUAAACUACCCAAAUACAUACCUGUAGGACCCAACCCGCGCAACUCAUAAAUCUGCCACCCCACCUGCCCUACUACUUACCAGUGGGAUCCAACUUGCCUAACUAUGAGUAGAACCUUUUUAUCCGACUACCCACAUGUGAGACCGGACUACCUGCAGGCCGCGCACACUCGGAAUGGGGCCUCUGGCUGCCUUUGGUUUGUGGACUCUCCUGCUGCAGGUGUUGGGGUCUGGAUACUAGCGUAGGGCUGGCUUCUGCAAUUCCAAACGUUCCCCUUCCUAACCCUGUUUCCCCCUUUCCUUUCCCGCAGUACUUAUGAGAUGGCCUGAGUAAAAUAAAUUAUCUUCUCCCCCUAUUUCUCUUCACAGAACCGAGGAAUAAUGAAGUUAUCCUUAGCCUCCUCCUAAAGGCUUUUCUUUUUGGCGUCUUAAAACUUGAGAGAUAACGUGGAGCCCCCAGAGAGGAGUCAGCAGGCUCCCGGGGUGCAUUCUGCCUAUAAACGUGCCAGGACUAGGCCCUCAGUCAGCACUUCCCUUGGGGAGGGUCCAGAACGCCUGUGGCACUGCCCAGGCAGAGGCCCCCCCCCAUUGUUUGCGUGGAUUGCUUUGCAAAGCUGAAGGGUUUUCCUGGACUUCUGGGUUCCUUGUCACUCCCCCUGUCCACAUGCCCUUUACACCUGCAAUGUCACCAGUGUCAGCCAUGCCAUCCUUUUAAAAUUAGUUUCCUUCUAGCCUUCCUGCUUUUCAGCACAGAAGCCAAACCUUGAAUGACCCUGCGGUGUGAUGGACAAAUGAGGGAGAGGGGCCUGUGCUCACCGGCUGGUCAUGGCUGGUCCGCCCUGCACUCUGUUUUCGGCCAACUCAGUAGAGGGGGUGAGACCCCCUGUGCUGAAGACUGGGUGGCAAAGAACCAGGACCGGCUGUUGGUUUCCCCCUGCCUUUUCCCUCCACGUAGAGCAGGCCUGGAUCCAGCCCUCUUGUUGCUAAGAGGCCUUUUCACCGACGGUCUUACCAGCUCAGCCAAAUCUCCACCUUCACUUUGGCAGAAGCAAUAACAAUAGUGUUCACUUAACGUAGACGUCUGGAGUCUGCCUCUUCCGAGACCUCACAGAUGAGUUAACGCCACCAGAGAAGCAGAUCAGUCCCAGAUUCGUUUCUUGGAAUUUUCUAUUUGCUGGUAUUUAUACUAUAUCAAACUAGUCUGCAGUUUUUAGCUAUGUUGAUUAAAACAUGUUUUUAAAGUAGUGUUUAUAGACAGUUUUUCUCUGUUUAAUGCAGGGCUGGGAAAUGCCCAGCAGCAGCCCCAGGGCAUGUCGCAUUCCUAGGGACCUUCUCCUUGGGCCUAAUGCUCAGAUUCAGGGGUUUAGGACUGAACAGGCAUCAAAGUAACAGCCCCGCAGAGCCAGUGGCAAACAGAAGACGUGCUCUUGUGAGCACACCUGUCCCCACACAGCAAUAGCAACAGCCGUGUCCUUGUCCUUGUCCUGGCUGGGCUCUGACUGGUAAAUAGGUAGCUCCCUCCAAGUUACUGUUUGUCUGGACACCUUCUGAACGUGGCUUUUAGGCACCAAGCCUCACGCAUUCCAGAUGGCUUGGAUCUGUGUAUUCAGCCUUUGUUCAGUCCAAUAAACUGUGUAAAUGGUCUUGAUGACUGCGUGUUUGAGUUUUGCUUUGUUUCUAAAAAAAAAAUAAUCUCUCUGGAACCUAUUAACAUCUGGCUCUCGCUCAAUGUGUGCCUGUUACUCCCAGCAGAGUACAAAGUCCUAGGUCUGCUCGGUAGAAACAAGCAAGUGCCGCGGCAGAUGGGAACCACAGGAGCGGAUGUGUGCUCAUCUGGGGGUGCCCACUCGAACCUCAGGCUUGUGAUCCCACCCCAGGAGCUCAGCAUCGAGCCUGUCCAUUCACGGUACCCCCUUCCUCAGGCGCUGGGGACCGUGCUCUUCUCACAGGCUCCUUCUCCCCCAGACAGGAUUGGAGAAAUAACUUUCCCAGCGUGAGCGAGAGAGGCUUGGGUUUGGGACUUUGCUGUUUCAGCCUCUAGAUGCUGCUCUAGUCAGAAAACCGAUUCUUUGCUGUUGGGGAGCUGUGGGGUUGCUGCAGGAGGAAUAUGUUAGGGCGAGUUGAAGACCAGACACUGACUGGGAGCCCUCUCUGGGAAGGGGCGGAGUGCUGGCAGUGCUGUGCCCUGCAAAGCCACGGUGGCUGGAGGCUGUGCUGAGGCUCGGCCCUGUGGUGGGUCUGCAAGGCCUAGCGCAGACCCUGACGUCUGGUUUGCAUCCUCUCAAGGCGGCCUGUGCCAAGCCGCUGGUGCAGGGUGGAGGGAGGCACUGAAGAAGCCUGAAACCAGAAUGGUGAGACGGUGCCAGGAUGCAGGGCCCGGCCACGCUGACAAGCACAGCGGAGCAGAACAAAGAACCAAGCCAUGGUGGCAGAGUGUCACCCCACCCUUGUUUGCGCUCACAGGAGGUGUCCUGUGCUCGUCAGAUAGCGUGGCCCGGAUGCACGGAAAUAACAGAACUCGGCUCCCAGCUCCCCGGCCCCAUGUGUAGUGAACUUAAGGCUGAGGUCCAGCCAGGCCGGUGCCCUGGUAAAAGGAGCAGGGCCCGCCCCCACCCAUCAUCAGGCAUCUUUGUGCAAAGUGGGAAAAGGCGCCCCUUCCUCUGGGCAGCGGAACCCCACGCCCACCCUCGUUCCUGGGUCAAGCACCCCCGGUACACAUCCGGGUGCACCUCUGUGUCCCAGCCAGGUGGCUUUUUCCUCCACUUUUGGCUCCUCCCGGUGAACAAAGGCUGUGCCUAAGCGGUCUCGGCACCGGCUCUCCAGCCACUUAGAGAAGCAGGUCCGCUUCCUCGGCGCCACAUCAAAGGCAGGCCCCGGGGGAAAGCUGCAGCCCCGGGAACCUGAGGGAUCACGGGGGCCCCCAAAUCUCCAGGUUAAACCCAAGACUGAGAACCCCACUUUCCAGAUGCUUCGAGUUGAGUUUUUCAAAGCAAACCAGCUCCCGGCUAGAGAGUGGCUUUGUCCGGCUUUGGUUUUCUGCUGAUUCUGGAAAGCGAGGCAGCCAGGCCCCGGGGUCCCCACCCCUCGGGGCGCUCUGGGUCCCUCUCGGCCGGGACCGGGAGCACCUCUCUCCUCUCUCUCCUCUCUCCUCGACAGAGUUCAGAAGGAACAGCUGGCGGCCAUCUUCAAGCUCAUGAAGGACAACGAGGCGACCUUCGGGGAGAUGUCGGCCGGCGACGUGCAGGAGCAGCUCAGGCUCUACGACAUGUAGGCCGCCUCCCGCGCCGGCCCGCGCUCCGCUCCCGCAGACCCUGGCAGGCGUCCCUUGCUCCCACUCACCGAGAUGCAGAGGUACUUCCCGACCGAGCUGCUCCGUUCUUGCAGCUUCUCCACCUGCCACCUGGGUGCCCCCCCCCAAGGCCGUGCCCUGGCCGAGCCCUUCCACGCAGACCCCGGGCAGGCGGCGGCUCCAAGGCCCAGCCCCGCAGCACGCGGUGUGGAAAGGAUUCGGGGUGCUGUGGGGUCCAGUCUAAGAACACUACACCUUGUUCUUUGAAGGAUCUCUGGACGUUUGUGACUGUACAGAAGCCAGCAGUGGGGGAGCCUUCUUUUAGCCACAAGCCUGAUUCAAGGACUUUGCGUCCCAGAACGAAGCAGUGGUAUCUAAGAGUUGCUCUGCUUUAAGCAUGAGAUUUACUUCACAUAUAAUUCAGGUUUAUACGAGUGUUGAUAAUAAACCUAGGAUGGCGCUAGACACUGUCAAUAGACAUAAAAUACGCGACACAGUCCCUGCCCUGACAGGGAUUAAAGUCCUCUGGAGAAGACAGGCACGUGCGCAGGAAAAGAGGGCCCCGCCGCACAGCUUUCGCUAAAAUGCCAAGUGACCUCACGGGGAGUGUCUGGGAUACCUCAGCACUUCGAUAAAGUUCUGUGAGUCAGUGAAGGCAUGAUGACAGAAAUAAGAGUGGUUCUUCCGUGCUGCCCAGGUUCUGUUUCUUUUUUUUUAUCUUUUGGCCAUGCCUGCAGCAUGCAUGAGUUCCUGGUCCAGGGAUCAAACCCCAACCACAGCAAUGAUGAUGAUGCCAGGUUCUCAAUCAACCUAACCAGCCGAGCUCCCCAGGUUCUGAUUCUUUUUUUUUUUUUUUCUUUUUAGGGCCGCACCCGUGGCAUAUGGAGGUUCCCAGGCUCGGGGUCGAAUGGGAGCUGUAGCUGCCGGCCUCUACCACAGCCACAGCCACACAAGUUCCGAGCUGCAUCUGCGACCUGCACCACAGCUCACAGCAACACCAGACCCUUGACCCACUGAUUGAGGCCAGGGAUCAAACCCUGGUCUUCAUGGAUGCCAGUCAGGUUGGUUAUCGCUGAGCCACAAUGGGAACUCCCCCAGGUCCUAUUCUGAUCACCCCACUGACAGAAAAAUACCAUAGCCAACCGAGUUAAGGAGGGUAUGCUAAAGGGAUAACCUAAGAAAGUUCCUGAAAGUACUUAUUUGCUGAAAUGAAACUAAACACACUAAAAAGCAGCAGUGGCAUUUUACAUACCUCAAGCUAACAACUGCCAUGGGGGGGCGGGGCAGUGAACCUUCUUUUAGCAUCUCUUGCUUGUUUGGGUUUUCCCAGGCACCCUCCCUGCUCUGUCCCUGAAACUGCUUUUGCUUCUUUCUGCCAGUCCCACAGAGAGAGGGUCUGCUCUCUGCGGUUAUAUCCAAAUGUCAGGGGGUUUUAAAAAAUCUUUGUCACUGCUUUUUAAAAAUGUUAUGAUUUAAG
rnacentral:lncRNA from 1 species